rnacentral:snoRNA from 1 species
UCGUCUUUUGCCAAUGCUCGGUCAAUCCAUCUAGAGGACGGAUCUUGAGCCGGAUACCCUCAGCUCGCUGUGUGAGUAUAAGACAAGAAAAACUUUUUACAACGUUUUUUGAGUACGAGGCCUUCAGUGACUUCGCAAAUGGAGGUCAUCGUAAUUUAUCAGUUGUUACAUUU